GGUUAGUGGUGCGACAUUUAGGGAAGGCAGAAAGUAGGUCAGGGACGGAGGUGCCUGUUUACCCGCGCCGGACUUGCCGCCGCCGCCGCCGCCGCGGGAACCGAGUGCUGGUGCGGGCGCGGGCGCUCGCGGCGAGCCACGGUGGUGGUGGCUACAGUGUACACUUUUGGAACAAAACUUAAGGUUUCAAAUGUGGAACCCUAGGCCUUCAUUGAACAAGAUGCAGAUGUUUUCCAGAACUUUCUUCAACCUCAGGCAGUAAGUUUUUUGGUGAAUAGUGUUUAGAACCAGAGUCUCUGCCCUCACGCUGCAGUGCGUGAACACAAACCACAGACAGAAAGCACUAGAAAGAAGGGGCCAGGUGACAGGUCUUCAGUCAGCAGGCCUUGAACAUGACUUAUCUAUCUUCCAAGCUACCCUGGGGCUCCUUCUCUGUGCCUCUUUUGAACACAGAAACCUUGUGAGGCUGGGGCUGCCUUAGCUUCUUCCCAGAGAGGAGAUGGCAGGGAUGGAGGGAUACAGCCGACAGCACACAUCAGUGUUUUCUCACAUCAGGCUCUGGUCUGUAAAGAACAAGGCAGGGAACUCCGUUUUUAGCUUCAUGAUGCUGUUAUUCUCCAGGGAACACAGACCAACUCUGGGCUCCAGGCUGGCAGAAAAGGCUUUGGGGCACAGGCCUGGUUCCAGAUGCUCAGGGAAUGACUGAGUGUAUGACUGCCCAGAGGCAAAUGAUAGUGCCCUAACCCCACCCAGAGUGGGAAGCCAGAGACCUCUCAAGUGAAAGUGUGGGACCAGAUCCUCAGAACCUAGGCUAUGACAGCAGCUACAAGGCUGAUAAAUAGUACUUCCUGGGAGAGGACUCAGUAGUGGAAGGAGGCAAAGUCCCAGGGGAGGGGGAAACCCAAGUGGCUUUACAGAGUUUCCUUCAGUGUGUACUUUUAAACUGUGACUGUUAGAUAAAACAUGGUUUGUGGGUGCAUACAGCUGGAGAAGUAGAGAUUCUACUGUCCCUGGACCCCAACACUCUGGAGUGGGGUACCUUAAACAUCCAAGAAUCCCAGCAGAACAGAAAUUUGCCUGUUUAAUUCAGCAUGUAUCAUCAAAGUCCCUGUGCCCAGUAUUGUGUUGGAUCCAGGACUCAAAUGCCUGGUGGGAUUGGGGCUUGAAUUCUGAUCACCAUCUCCUCUUUGAGAGUGCGCUGUACACCCUGCUUUUGUAGAGCCCCAAAAGGCAGUGCCCUUCUUAGCUGGUUCUUGGACUCUAGUUCCUUUUCUCACACUGAGGAAAUAAUUGUCUCUCUGGCUGCUUGUCCAUUCAGUUACUUCAUGGUGACGUCUGUCUGCUCCACCUUCAUCCUGGGCCACUUGAGUAGGGCAGCUGUUCCGCACAGCCAUGGCACUGGAAGGCUGCACACCCAUAGUGAAGACCAGGAGUUCUUCCUGAAUGCCUGGCGAGGUACAUAGCUUGCUUACUCUCAACUCACUCCUCAGGGAGAAAGAGUCAUUUGGCAUGACUGUGUCUGUGCUGGGCUAGGAGCAGGCCUUAUAGGAAAUUACAGACCAGACUGUUCUGUGAGGCCAACCUAUCCUGUGGCUCCUCCCCAGAGCCCCACCAUUCUGGGUUAGCUCUCAGUACCAUCCAAGAGUGGAAUUCUGUGGACUUCCCUCCUUCCACUGCAUUUGAGGGCCUUUGGACAAAGGAAUGCUCUGUCUUUAUUCACACAGAGCCCAGUAUUCACAAGUCCAGCCCCAUAGCUCCAAAUGAUCUCAUUUAUGUUCAACCUCAG
rnacentral:lncRNA from 1 species